rnacentral:piRNA from 1 species
UGCCUAUGUGUAGCUAGUGUCA